rnacentral:rRNA from 1 species
AUUGAACGCUGGCGGCAGGCCUAACACAUGCAAGUCGAACGGUAACAGGCUAUGAGGUGCUGCCGACUGGCGGCCGGGGGAGUAAUACAGCGGAACGUACCCGGAUGUACGGUUUCACGGAGCGUAAGGUGUGCAAAUAUACCCUGAUACCUGAGACUGACAGCGGGGGAAAGCGCAGCAAUGUUUGGCCUCGCGCCAUUGGAGGAGCCGAUGUCGGAUUAGCUAGUUGGCGGGGUAAAGGCCCACCAAGGCGACGAUCCGUAGCUGGUCUGAGAGGAUGAUCAGCCACACUGGGACUGAGACACGGUCCAGACUCCUACGGGAGGCAGCAGUGGGGAAUAUUGGACAAUGGGCGCAAGCCUGAUCCAGCCAUGCCGCGUGCGUGAAGAAGGCCUUCGGGUUGUAAAGCGCUUUUGGUAGGAAAGAAAAGCAGCACGUUAAUACCGCGCGGUUCUGACGGUACCUACAGAAUAAGCACCGGCUAACUUCGUG